rnacentral:rRNA from 1 species
GGAGGGGGCAAGCGUUGUUCGGAAUUACUGGGCGUAAAGCGCGCGUAGGCGGUCUGUUUAGUCAGGCGUGAAAGCCCUGGGCUCAACCCAGGAACUGCGUUUGAUACUGGCGGACUAGAGUCCGGGAGAGGAGAGUGGAGUUUCCAGUGUAGAGGUGAAAUUCGUAGAUAUUGGAAAGAACACCAGUGGCGAAGGCGGCUCUCUGGACCGGUACUGACGCUGAUGUGCGAAAGCGUGGGGAGCAAACAGGAUUAGAUACCCUGGUAGUCCACGCCGUAAACGAUGAGUGCCCAGACGUUGGGAAGCUUGCUUUUCAGUGUCGCAGUUAAACGCAUUAAGCACUCCGCCUGGGGAGUACGGCCGCAAGGCUA